GUGUCAGCCGCCGCGGUAAUACGAAGGGUGCAAGCGUUACUCGGAAUUACUGGGCGUAAAGCGUGCGUAGGUGGUUUGUUAAGUCUGAUGUGAAAGCCCUGGGCUCAACCUGGGAAUGGCAUUGGAAACUGGCUUACUAGAGUGCGGUAGAGGGUAGCGGAAUUCCCGGUGUAGCAGUGAAAUGCGUAGAUAUCGGGAGGAACAUCCGUGGCGAAGGCGGCUACCUGGACCAGCACUGACACUGAGGCACGAAAGCGUGGGGAGCAAACAGGAUUAGAAACCCCGGUAGUCC
rnacentral:rRNA from 1 species